GGGUCAAUGCUGGGAACUCAUUAUGACAUGAAGAAAGAUAAUUACUUAAAAUCAAGCUCAAUAGGAAUACACUGAAGCCC
ensembl:snoRNA SNORD115 Small nucleolar RNA SNORD115